UACGAAGGGGCUAGCGUUGUUCGGAAUCACUGGGCGUAAAGGGCGCGUAGGCGGCUUUAUAAGUCGGGGGUGAAAGCCUGUGGCUCAACCACAGAAUUGCCUUCGAUACUGUAGAGCUUGAGACCGGAAGAGGUAAGUGGAACUGCGAGUGUAGAGGUGAAAUUCGUAGAUAUUCGCAAGAACACCAGUGGCGAAGGCGGCUCACUGGCCCGAUACUGACGCUGAGGCACGAAAGCGUGGGGAGCAAACAGG
rnacentral:rRNA from 1 species